AAAAAGAGUAAGCCUUGUCGAUACACCAAGGGCCCUCAUCCAGUGUUCCUCGGCAAACAGUUGAUUUGUACUGUUGGGAGUUCUGACUCCAGUCAGAACUGAGUGUUGUUGGCUUUGUCACUACUGUACCGGCCACUAGCAGCUGUGUAGCUAAUCCUGGUUACCUCUUCAGAUCUUUUUUUCCAGUAGGCCCUACUUGCCCCCAAGCACCCAAGACAUGGGACUAAUUAAUUCAGUGUGACUCUGGCCUUGGCUUCGAGGGUGCUUCUGCUUGGGCAUUGCUGUAGUCCUUUGUCAGUCACUCCUCGUUCCAAUUAGAAAAAUCCCUAUGGGAUAGGUUUUCUCUAUUUUUGACAUCCCAGAGUUGCCAUGAUAAACAAGAUAAAUAUCUCAAAGUAAACAUUGAAGCCGUGUGUGCUAGCACACCACUCCAGCACUUGGGAGGAGGAGGCAGGAGCUCAAAGCAGGCUCAGUAGCUCGCACAGUUCUAGCUAUUCGUAAAAUGAAGCGGGAAGAUUUUAAGUUUAAGGCCAGCAUGAACAUCCUGGCAACCAGGGGUGGCAAGACACCAUGCCAGUAAAAAAGGGGCCUGGAGAGAUGGCUCAGUGACUGGAAUUUGGUUCCCAGCACCCACUGCACGGCUACCUAUAAGUGACCUGAUGCCCUUGGGCCUCUGGGCACCCAUACACAUGUACACUGAUAUAUAGACACACUUACACGAAGUCAAGUUCUGAGAAUAAUUCAUGUCAAAAGCUUCCAAAAGUUCCAAAAGAACUAGUGAGGUCAGGUAUCAAGAAAAAUUCAGGGGUUGGGGAUUUAGCUCAGUGGUAGAGCGCUUGCCUAGGAAGCGCAAGGCCCUGGGUUCGGUCCCCAGCUCCGAAAAAAAGAACCAAAAAAAAAAAAAAUCCAUUGACUUUGCCUUCAAAACCCACAUUCUUCACCAUAAUGUGCAUGAAGCUAAAAUUUUGUCAUCCUAUAAGUCAUUUGUGACUUCCAGAUGGUCUUAAUGUCUUAAAUUUCAGUCUCUGGCUGAGGGGCAUGGGGCCUCCUGGUUCUGUAGCUCUUUUGUGUCUGCUGUCCCUGUCAACGUUUGUCUGCCAUACCAUAUACUUCUUGCCCAAAUGCCACUCUUUCUAAGUUGUUUCUCCUUUAUACCUACUUUCCACUUUGUCCUAUGUUUUGGUGAAGGUUGGCAAACAUGUUAAGGGCCGUCACCUCACAUUGCAGGAAAUUGAACUCGGUUUUCAUGCAGAUGAAAUAAAUACUCAUGCCAUUUAGCCAUUUUAUUUUGAAGACACAGGGUCUCUGUGUUGUCCAGGCUUGCCAGAAAAUCCUGGGCUCAACAUGGUUUAGAGCGACCAGGACUUGGUCGAGAGGGUCCUAUCUCUCCCAAGUCUCCCUGUCUGGGAAAGGUAGGUAGAGAUGGGAAAGAAGCUGGAGAAAUAUAGUCUCUUCUACUCUCCAGGACUCUGAACUGUCGAUAGGGCAGUUAGAAGUGGAAUUUAAUGAAAGUCUUGCGGGGGUUAUGGGAAGUGUAAACAUCUGAAUCAGUCUCUUUUGUAGGGUAGUGUGCUUCUGGCUAGUGUACUUCAUACUGUGACUUGUGGAGCCCCAGCUCUAGACUCAAGGGAAUCCUCCCAUAACUUAAAUGCAGACACCUGAGAAUACAUAUGUACUUGGAAUUUUCUCACUCCAGCUAUCCCUGAUCUGAUUGAGAGGGACCUACUACAAAGGAGUGUGGGUGUUUUGAGACAGGGGUCCUAUAAUCUUGGCUGUAGACCAGGAUGACCUCAAACUCAGAGUCCUCUUGCCUGGACUUCCCAAGUACUAGGAUUAAAAGGCACCAACCAUAGUUAAGUCAAAAAGUAGCUUUUUGCCUUUAUAAAGCCCAGGCAUCACUGGAAGUGCAGCCCAGGUUCUUGUCUUCCUGAUUGUUUUUACAGUUGCUAGGAUUACAAAUAGGUUGCCAGACUUUUAAAUUCGCAUCUGAGCAGGGCAGACAGAACCUUGGGUGUGAACCUUUGGUGUUGGGUAAUUCUUACUGAAGACAGACACCUAUUCUGGUUUCCUUUGAGUGCCUACACCACCUACCGAACCCGUGUCUUGGGACAGACCAAAUUGGGCCUUUGGAAUCCCCUGGAGGGUGGCGUCCCCUGGUGUUCGCGUCAGGGACUACGGGGCAGGGUAAAAGUAGGGCACCAGGACCUGCAAGAGGCAAGCAUGAAAAGGCAAGAAGACCCUUUCCCCUACACCAUUCACCACACCCAUGAGUACCCGGAAGGAAAAGUCCCUGAGAGAUAGCAGCAGUGAAGAUUCUACCGUCCUCCCACAACAUCCAACCCGGAGGAACUCAGCCAACGAAGCCGGGGCGGGGAGGGGCCGGGCCGGGGGCGGCCUGGCAGGAAGCAGCGCGUACCUUCCGCUGCAGGAGGAGCAGGUGGCUGCAGUGCUGCCUGGGCCCCUGGCUUCCUGUGUACGCUCCUGCCGGCUGCUUUUUCCCGCCAGAGCUCAUUGGGCCGUCUCGGCCCUAUGGCUCACACCCCAGAUGGCAUAUCCUGUGAACUGCGAGGCGAGAUUACCAAGUUCCUGUGGCCCAAGGAGGCGGAGCUGCUGUUGAAAACCUGGCUUCCCCAGGAGGGUGCUGAGCAAAGUCACAUCCUGGCACUGCUUCGAUGGAGGGCAUAUUUGCUGCACACUUGCCUUCCCCUGAGGGUGGACUGCACAUUCAGCUACCUGGAGGUCCAGGCCAUGGCUCUGCAGGAGACACCUCCUCGGGUCACCUUUGAACUGGAGUCCCUGCCUAAACUGGUCCUGGAGUUUCCCGGGGUGGCCGCCCUAGAACAGCUAGCUCAGCAUGUGGCUGCUGCCAUCAAAAAGGUCUUCCCUCGCUCAACCCUUGGGAAGCUAUUCCGGAAGCCCACGCCCUCAUCGCUGUUGGCUCGACUGGAGAAAAGCCAUCCCUUAGAGUCUACAGUACCCAGCAGUCCUUGUGGUGGCUUCUUGGAGACAUAUGAAGCUCUCUGUGACUACAAUGGCUUCCCAUUCCGAGAGGAGAUUCAGUGGGAUGUGGACACUAUCUACCAUCGCCAGGGCUGCCGCCAUUUCUGCCUUGGAGAUUUCAGCCACCUUGGCAGCCGAGACCUGGCCUUGAGUGUAGCUGCCUUAUCUUAUAACCUGUGGUUCCGGCGACUCUCCUGCAUGGACAUGAAGCUGAGCCUGGAGGUCUCAGAACAGAUCCUGCACAUGACGAGUCAGUCUUCCUAUUUGGAGGAGCUGGUACUGGAGACCUGCGGCCUGAGAGGAGACUUCGUUAGGCGAUUAGCCCAGGCACUGGCAGGACAUUUUAAUUCUGGACUUCGGGAGCUCAGCCUGUCUGGGAACUUGCUGGAUGAUAGAGGUAUGGCCACACUCAGCAGACACCUAGAGCAUUGUCCAGGAGCCUUGAGGAAACUCUGCCUAGCACAGACGGGGUUGACACCUCGAGGAAUGAGAGCUCUAGGAAGGGCACUGGCAACGAAUGCCACCUUUGACUCUACCCUGACCCACCUGGAUCUUUCUGGGAACCCUGGGGCACUGGGAGCCUCACAGGAUGGUGGGGGCCUGUAUACUUUCCUGAGUCGUCCUAAUGUUCUGGCCUAUUUGAAUCUAGCAGGCACCGACACUGCUCUAGGCAUGCUUUUCAUGGCGUUAUCUGGUGGCUGCUGCGCCAACCUCACCCAUCUCGAAGCUUCGAGGAAUAUCUUCUCUCGCACGAAGUCCCAAGCGGUGCCAGACGCACUGCAGCGCUUCCUUGGUGGUGCCAGGAUGCUGCGGCAUCUAGGCCUGGCUGGCUGCAAGCUGCCACCCGAAGCGCUCAGGGCCCUUCUAGAUGGUCUUGCGCUCAACACUCAGAUUCAUGACCUGCACCUAGAUCUCAGCGCAUGUGAGCUGCGCUCCGUGGGUGCCCAGGUGAUACAAGACUUAGUUUGUGAUGCGGGCGCCUUGAGUUCCUUGGAUCUGUCAGAUAAUGGCUUUGGCUCCGACAUGGUGACCCUGGUGCUGGCCAUCGGGAGGAGCCGUUCUCUGAAACAUGUGGCCCUUGGAAGGAACUUCAAUGUUCGCUGCAAGGAGACACUGGAUGACGUCCUGCACCGGAUAGUCCAGCUCAUGCAGGAUGAUGACUGUCCUUUGCAGUCUCUAUCCGUGGCUGAGUCGCGCUUGAAGCAGGGUGCCAGCGUCCUGAUUCGGGCUUUGGGCACCAAUCCUAAACUGUCAGUGCUGGAUAUCAGUGGCAAUGCCAUAGGAGAUACUGGCGCCAAGAUGCUAGCCAAGGCUCUACGAGUCAACACCAGGCUACGGUCUGUGAUCUGGGAUCGAAACAACACAUCUGCUCUGGGCCUGCUGGAUGUGGCGGAAGCCCUGGAACAGAACCACAGCCUGAAGUCCAUGCCGCUGCCACUAAAUGACAUAACACAGGCACAUCGCAGCCGGCCAGAACUGACAGCCCGAGCAGUUCAUCAGAUCCAAGCCUGUCUCUGGAGGAACAACCGGGCAGACUCUACUUCUGACCGGAAGCCCUGCCUUCAGCCCUUGGGUCUGAUUUCAGACCACUCAGAGCAGGAGGUGAAUGAGCUAUGCCAGUCAGUACAGGAGCAUGUGGAGCUGCUGGGCUGUGGGGCUGGGCCCCAGGGUGAGGUUGCUGUGCACCAGGCUGAGGACGCCAUCCAGAAUGCCAACUUCUCUCUUAGUAUCCUUCCCAUUCUAUUUGAGGCUGGGAGCUCUCCAAGCCACCACUGGCAGCUGCAACAGAAGCUGGAAGGCCUCUUGGGUCAGGUGGGCGAGAUCUGCCGCCAGGACAUCCAGGACUUCACUCAGACCACACUGGAUACCACAAGGAGCCUCUGCCCACAGAUGCUGCAGAGACCUGGCUGGAGGAAGCAGCUGGAGGGAGUUCUGGUGGGCUCCGGGGGCCUCCCAGAACUGCUUCCAGAACAUCUGCUACAAGAUGCCUUAACUAGGCUGAGGGACAUGCGCCUGUCAAUCACAGGGACCCUAGCAGAGAACAUUGUGGCUCAGGCCCUUGCAGGUCUUCAUGCAGCCCGAGAUCGACUGGUGGAGAGUCUAGCUCAGCAGGCACCAGUGACGGUGGUCCCUGCUGUACCACCACUGUGUGGAGAUGAGCUCACCCUCCUUGAGUCUGGGGGAGUGGAAGAGUUUUUCUUUCCCACGGAGGAGGAAGAGGAGAGAGAAAAGGAUGAUGGUUCCUCAUGGAAAUGGCUUGAGCCCAGUAAUUGCUUCCUGGUCCCGUCCCUUCAUGGUGCUGCUGAGGAAGCAGAACGGGACCCCGAGCUGGCAGCUCCGGGGGAAGAUGCGGAGCCGCAGGCUGGGCCGUCUGCACGCGGCUCUCCAAGCCCCGCCGCCCCAGGGCCUCCCGCCGGCCCUCUGCCUCGCAUGGACCUGCCACCCGCCGGGCAACCCCUACGCCAUCCGACCCGAGCCCGACCGAGGCCACGUCGCCAGCACCACCACCGCCCGCCGCCGGGGGGCCCCCAGGUGUCCCCAGCCCUACUUCAAGAAGGGAAUGGGCUCACUGCUCGUGUCGAUGAGGGUGUGGAGGAAUUCUUCUCCAAAAGGCUGAUCCAGCAGGAUCGCCUCUGGGCCCCUGAGGAGGAUACAGCCACUGAGGGUGGUACCACUCCUGUUCCCCGUACACUUCGAAAGAAGCUGGGUACCCUCUUUGCCUUUAAGAAACCUCGUUCAACAAGGGGUCCACGACCUGACCUAGAGACCAGCCCUGGAGCAGCAGCUCGUGCCAGAAAGACCACACUUGGGGAUCUGCUUCGACCACCAGCCCGUCCAGGCCGUGGUGAGGAGCCUGGAGGAGCAGAAGGCGGCACCAGUAGCCCUGAUGCGGCUCGCAGAAAUCGGCCUCGUUACACUCGGGAAAGCAAGGCCUAUUCCAUGAUACUGCUGCCUGCUGAGGAGGAAGCGGCAGUGGGUGCCAGACCUGAUAAGGCAUCUCUGUCCUCAGAGGCGGCCUCUGGAACGGGGAGACACAGAACUGGCCCCAUCUUUUGAGCAGCGGGUACAAGUGGUGCUGCAGAGGAUCGGCGUAAGCCGGGGCAGUGGGGGUGCUGAAAGCAAGAGGAAGCAAAGCAAGGAUGGUGAGAUCAAGAAAGCAGGCUCUGAUGGUGACAUUAUGGACAGUUCCACAGAGAC